GGCACGUCCACAGUGGGCGACUGUAGCUGCCUUUAAAACGGGAUCUGCACAGCCGCUCUCUGCGAAGUGACAACAGCGUCCGUUCCUGAAACUUUGUCGUUUUUGUUUGGUAAAAGUUAACACUCGCGUAAACACUGACAGGACACACACAUAUAUCUGGACUUUAGUUUAUAAAAAAUCAAACUCGGAGAGAGAGAGAAAUUGUUUUCCUGGAGGGGUUUAUUUUGAAAAAGAAGAGCAAAAAAUCAGAAGGCGAAACUGGUUCGGGAAAGGACAUAAACCAAGAAGCAUCUCAGCCGCUUUGUUCUGCUAGGGAACAUCAGGCUGGAAACUAUUAUCAAUUCAGGCGUGGAUGGUUAAAGCAAUCUUGUGACCCAUCAAGGCCAGCGUCGCAGGGCAGAGCGAGAUGGCUGUUGCUGGGUGACCCUGGGGAUCACCGCUUCAGUUCUGUGUCACCUGGCAUUUUGAGGGUGCUUUAAGACUUUAUCUUCUCAGAGACAAGGUGAUGAUGAGAAUCAGAAGAUUCAGAAACCAGUAACAAAAAGGAAUGGAAUUUCCAAUUGGGUCAUCUGAUGGUUUGCCAUUAUUUCAGAGCCUGGACAAAACCCAGGAAAGACACCAUAAAUAUUGCGAUUGGGAGAAAGCCAACAGGAGAAAUGCAAUCACCAGCCAACCCCCGUCAAGGUCUGUCAAGAAAAGAGAUCAGACACUUGUUCAACUUUCCAAAGUUCACAUGCAAAGGGUUUCCAGCAAUUACUUUGUGCUGCUGACCUGCUGAGAUCCUCCAGCAUUUUAUGUGUGUUGCUCAGGAUUUCCAGCAUCUACAGACUUUCUUGUGUUUAGAUCUAAUAGAGCUGUCCACCAUAUGAGUAACUAAUGUAAGAAGUAGAUUCUCCCACUGGUCGAACAAAGUGGAAAGAUCAAACAAAAUACAGUAUAAGGAUAACCAACAUGGUCUCUGCAUAAGGGAAGGCCUUAGCAGACAGGAUUAAAGAAAACCCCAUCCUUAACUACCCAGCAGAUGCCUUUUUCAAAAACUCCCUUCUGGAAAAAGUACAGGGGCAGGGCUAUUAAAACAAAAACAUCACAGCAUCUUAAAAGUUUUUUUUCCCCAGGCAGUUAAUCUGAUCAACCAUUCUAGUUAGCACCCCGCCCCCCUCUAUCUACUACCCCUAUCACUGCACUGCCCUGUAAACACUUUAAGCAACUUUUUAUAAUGCAGUUUUACAUUGUAAAUACAUGCUGCUGUUUACUGUAUGUAAGCACAUGGUAACAUAGCAGAUAACUUAAUGCUUUACAGAGCCAGCAAUCCUGGCUCAAUUCCACCACUGCCUGUAAGGAACUUGUAUGUUCCCCCUGUGACAAUGUGGGUUUCCUCCAAAUGAUACAGUUUCUUCUCACAUUCCAAAGAUGUACAAAUUAGUAGAAUAAUUGGAGGCAUACAGAAGGUGUAAUUGGGCAGCAUAGGCUUGUUAGGAUGAAAGGGCUAAUCACUGCUGUACUGCUGUAUCUCUAAAAUUUUAUUCCAUAUCUAUAUUUCUAACUUUAUUUCAUAUGUCAUCAGUUUUCAUAACUGUUGAAUGUUGUUCUUUCUGUUGCCUGUCGCUCCAACACAGUGCAGCAAAUUCCUAAUACAUAAAUGGUGGAUAAAGUUGAUUCUUAAUUAAUUGCAUUCAGUAGGUUCCACUCUUAUCGCAGCGGAGAGUUUGAGACCCACUCUAGUAACCUGAGAACAAGCCAGUCUGGAGGACGGAUGCAGAGCAGAGGGGGUAUGGAUCUGUCAGCUUCCAACCAAGGUGCUAAACUGAGGCUGAGCCUGCUACCCUCAGGUGAAUAUAAAAUACCCCACAGCUAGUCUGAAGUAGAGAUGGAGGAUGCCCACUCUAGCAUUUAACUCUGCAAGCAUUUUUCACAUGGUGGGGCACUGGGAGGUGUUCAAAGUGUCCUUGUGCUCACUCCAUAAGAACACUCAGGUUCAGCAAGCAAUUAGCACGGCAAAUGAUCUAUCUGUUGGGUCAUUGCUGGAGGCUUUGAGUGCAAGAGUAGAGAUAUCUCACUGCAGUUCUACAAGGUCUCAGUGGGAACAUGCCUGGAGUAUUGUGUUUAAUUUUGAUUCCCAUAUCUAAAUAAAGAUAUGCUUACUAAUGAAGCAGAGCAGCAAAAUUAGCUCCUGGGAUGAUCUGACACAUUAGUCAAGAAUUUUAAAAAAUGGAAGGGUAUCUGAUUACUCUGUAUCUGCAUUCUGUUAUUGUUUUACCCUCUUCCACCUCAAUGCACCAUGCAAUUAUUUGAUAGGUAUGAACAGUAUUUCAAGUUCAGAUUUAUCGUCCUUCCACUAUAUACAGGUAAACAAAACAACAUUUCUCCAGACCAACAUGCAUAAUGUAGUACAUGUACAGUAACUCACACAUCACCGAAAAUAAUAUUACUACAAAUAAAUGGUAAUAUUUACCAUUUACAUUACCACAAAAUAUAUUCCAGAAGAUUGACAUUUAGUGUAAAAUCAAAAAGUAAACAGUAUAAUACUACUGGCACUUCAUACUUGAUGAGAUCUGGGUGAUAGCAGAGAGUGCAAUAGUCUGAUGGACUAGGAGAAGAAGCUGUUCCCCAUCCUAACAGUUCUUGUCCUGAUGCUACUGUAUCUCCUGCCUGAUGAUAGGGGGUCAAAGAGAUUGUGGAACGGAUGGGAGAUAUCCUUGACAAUGUUUGUUAAGGAACUCACAAGCUUUUCACUGUAUCUUGGCAUAUGUGAUAGUUAUAAACUGAUUCCAAUUCUAAUAAACAAGACCAGGUAAGAUGGAUAAAUUUUCUCCCCAACAGAGUCUAAGUGAACCAGAUGUAUUUAUCAUUAAUCCAAUUGGUUCAUUACUGGCAGUAGUCCCUGUUUACCCCAGAUAUGAGGAUGCUUGCUAUGAUGGCAGUGUAGAAUUGCACUAGUUUUUUGAUAGUUUUAUACUUUAUUCUGCAUUGUUAUUGUCUUGCCUUAUUCUAGCGAAGUGCACUGUGUAACAAACUAAUCUGUAUGAACAAGCUUUUCAUUGUAUCUUGUUACAUUUGAUACCAAUAAACUAAUUCCA